rnacentral:rRNA from 1 species
GACGAACGCUGGCGGCGUGCUUAACACAUGCAAGUCGAACGGAAGGGCCUCUUUCGGGGGGUACUCGAGUGGCGAACGGGUGAGUAACACGUGAGUAACCUGCCCUUGACUUUGGGAUAACUUCAGGAAACUGGGGCUAAUACCGGAUAGGAGCUCCUGCUGCAUGGUGGGGGUUGGAAAGUUUCGGCGGUUGGGGAUGGACUCGCGGCUUAUCAGCUUGUUGGUGGGGUAGUGGCUUACCAAGGCUUUGACGGGUAGCCGGCCUGAGAGGGUGACCGGCCACAGUGGGACUGAGAUACGGCCCAGACUCCUACGGGAGGCAGCAGUGGGGAAUAUUGCACAAUGGGUGGAAGCCUGAUGCAGCAACGCCGUGUGCGGGAUGACGGCCUUCGGGUUGGAAACCGCUUUCGCUCAUGACGAAGCUUUGUGUGACGGUAGUGGGUAAAGAAGCACCGGCUAACUACGUG